GUGAAAGGCGACGGCUCAACCGUCGACGCGCUUCGGAAACUGGGGGACUUGAGGGCAGGAGAGGCGAGCGGAAUUCCCGGUGUAGCGGUGAAAUGCGUAGAGAUCGGGAAGAACACCAGUGGCGAAGGCGGCUCGCUGGACUGGCCCUGACGCUGACGCGCGAAAGCGUGGGGAGCGAACGGGAUUAGAUACCCCGGUAGUCCACGCCGUAAACGAUGGGCACUAGGUGUGGGAGGUAUCGACCCCUCCCGUGCCGGAGUUAACACACUAAGUGCCCCGCCUGGGGAGUACGGCCGCAAGGUUGAAACUCAAAGGAAUUGACGGGGGCCCGCACAAGCAGUGGAGCAUGUGGUUUAAUUCGACGCAACGCGAAGAACCUUACCCGGGCUUGACAUCCCCGGAACACCCGAGAGAUCGGGUGGCUCUACGGAGCCGGGAGACAGGUGCUGCAUGGUUGUCGUCAGCUCGUGUCGUGAGAUGUUGGGUUAAGUCCCGCAACGAGCGCAACCCUUGUCCCGUGUUACCAGCGUAAAGGCGGGGACUCACGGGAGACUGCCGGUGACAAACCGGAGGAAGGUGGGGAUGACGUCAAAUCAUCAUGGCCUUUAUGUCCGGGGCUACACACGUGCUACAAUGGCCGGCACAGCGGGAUGCGAAGGGGCGACCCGGAGCGAAUCCCUGAAAGCCGGUCCCAGUUCGGAUCGCAGGCUGAAACCCGCCUGCGUGAAGCCGGAAUU
rnacentral:rRNA from 1 species